rnacentral:rRNA from 1 species
GAUGAACGCUAGCUACAGGCCUAACACAUGCAAGUCGAGGGGAAACGGCAGCUUAGCUCGCUAAGCUGGACGUCGACCGGCGCACGGGUGAGUAACGCGUAUCCAACCUUCCCGCAAGUAAGGGAUAACCCGUAGAAAUGCGGCCUAAUACCUUAUGUUUUCCUUAGAGGGCAUCUGAUGAGGAACAAAGAUCCGUCGCUUGCGGAUGGGGAUGCGUCUGAUUAGUUAGUCGGCGGGGUAACGGCCCACCGAGACGACGAUCAGUAGGGGUUCUGAGAGGAAAGUCCCCCACAUUGGAACUGAGACACGGUCCAAACUCCUACGGGAGGCAGCAGUGAGGAAUAUUGGUCAAUGGACGCAAGUCUGAACCAGCCAAGUAGCGUGCAGGAUGACGGCCCUAUGGGUUGUAAACUGCUUUUAUGCGGGGAUAAAGUUAGGGAUGUAUCCCUUUUGCAGGUACCGCAUGAAUAAGGACCGGCUAAUUCCGUG